CAUGCUGAAAUCCUGGACUGGGCACACACCAGCACUGGACCCCAUCAGGGGCCACCCUUCUAAGCCCACUUCCUUGUGUGGAAAAGGUUCAUCUCAUAAAUAUGAGGUCAUUUAGAGCCAUAUCAAGAACUGUGAUAGGGGCGGGUUUUUCUUUCCCUCUUGUGCACAGAACAUGCUGUGCCAACUGCCACAGACAAAGUGGCCUCUAGGAGAACCCAGGGGACUUCCAAAGACCCCACCCAGAACCAGUCUCCCCUGCUUCUGCCUUGUGCCUUGCACACACCUGUUCUUAGUGUCCCCUCUGUAUGGCUGAGACCACUCUUCCCCCUCACCCUCUCCCACUAGACCAAGGUGGUCUCUGCGGUGACACUAGGUCUCCUCCAGCCAACUCUACCCGGAGUGGUGCCAGGCACAUGGGAUCAAAGACCUCUUUAGGCCCAGAGACCCUGACCUCCAAGGAACCAGUUCUCCAAGACCUUGGCAAAUGACCCAUGCUGGCUCCCCUUCCCCUAGAAUUACCAAGGGGAGCCCACCCAUCCCUGCCAGCACCGCAGCAGUCUUUAAUCCAGCUCCUCAGGGAAUGGUGUCCCCUGGCCCUCCGGGGAAGAUAAGGAGGUGUACACGGUUUACUGAGUACCUGCUGUCAUCUGAACAAGACAAUCUCUGCGUUCACAGAGCUUCUCCAACAAACGUGUACCAGCUAUGUUGUGGUAAGACCUAAGCAGGAAAGAACAGUGCGGAGUAUGAGGAGCAAGGGGUAAGCUCAAACAGCUGUUCACUUCCCCAAGGAGCUGGCGUUGGAGAGAUGCCUUGAAAAGAGGAUGAGGGUGGGCUGUUCUAGGCAGUGAAAAAGCAAAAGCAAAAGCCCUGUGGCAGGAUGGCACUGGGAGAGCAGAAGGUAGAGAGGUAGGUAAGGACCCUGUUGAAGAGACUAGGAGUGGGACAGAGCGCAAGGGUGAUCUUGGCUAGCAGAUGGCUCUGCGACUGGGCCAUGAAGAUAGUAGAGAGGUGGGAACCGGUCAACCGUGGGAUAUGUAGGAGGCGCAGGUGACAGGAUGGACGGGCCUUGGAGCCCAGGCAGCGGCUGGGGGCAAGGAGCUGCGGUGGCCCGGCGGCUCCUGGCUAUGCACUCCGAGUCCUCGGGGUGCCAUUUCACCGGCCACCCUGCCCGGGGGUACCGCCGGGGACGGGAACCCCCAUCGCAACCUGGCCAGGCGGAGGGGGACGCGAGCAGGGACCCCGGGAAGUUCGGGACAGCCGGAGGCCCCACCCGCAGGGGCUCGUACCGGCGGAAGCCUGCAAAGAGAACUCUCGCGAGAUGACUGAAACCCCAUCCCUCCGAGGCUUCGCAAAUCGGUAAGCGGCUGAAUGCGUUGCCAUGACAACCCGGACUGCGUGGCUGCCGCCUCUGUGGCUGUGGUGGCCUCGGCGUCCUGUGUGUGAGGCCAUCCUGUGUCGCAGGCGUCCUUCUGCCCAGAGCUCCGUCCUCGGGAGUUUGAAGAUGGGCAGAAAGCCCCUCCAGGUCCAGACCUCGGCCCAUCCAGAGGGAGGUGGGAGGAAGCCGCAAGCCCGUUGGCGGGCCAGGGCACCACUGUCGCUCCAGCCCCAGUGCUGGACCCCGCAGACCCCGCAGAGCCGGCCCAGCGUGUCAGUAUCUAGUGGAGAAAAAAUGACAACGUGAACGUGAUGUAAUGUGAGCUUUGGGGCGGGGGUGGGGGAGAAGCUUGUUGCUUGACUUCACCCAGGAAUGUGGCUGGACGGAAAGUUACUGCAACUGGAGAAAGGCACAGUUGGCUGGAGUUUGGUUUAAAAAUAAAUAAAUAAGAUUUAAAUUAUAUAA